GCCAGGAGUUCUACCCACUGCUUUUGCAGAUUUAGAUUCAUCUUUUGCAGGAUCUUGUUUAGGGGUUUUAACAGAUCCAGCAGGCACUGACCGUUUUGCUGAAGCUUUCACCUCAGAUUCCAUAGAGUUCUUCAAGACAGCUCUUCCUGUGCUUUCAUCCACUAUUUUAUUUGCUGAUUCAUCCAUUUGCUUUUGAUUCUCUGUUGAUCUUGAGGUCCCAACUAUAGCAGCUGAAGAAACAGAUGAAUGAACAUCCAACCCAUUAACCAGUGAUCCACCUUUUAAUUUUUGAUGUCCUGGGUCAGAUUUCACAUGUGAGACACUUUCAGUUCUAUCAGACCUCCCAUCUGCAG
rnacentral:misc_RNA from 1 species